rnacentral:pre_miRNA from 1 species
UAUUAAAAUUUAAUUCAUUUCUACUAUUAAAAGUUGACAUGGCUGAUAGAAUAACCAAACAAUGACAUAUGUCGUGCCACGUGUACCUCAUGCCAACGUACAAGGAUUAAUUUUUAACAGUAGAAAUUGAUACUUUUUUUAGCA